rnacentral:rRNA from 1 species
CUACGGGAGGCAGCAGUGAGGAAUAUUGCACAAUGGGGGGAACCCUGAUGCAGCAACGCCGCGUGGAGGAUGACGCAUUUCGGUGUGUAAACUCCUUUUAUAUGUCAAGAAAAUGACGGUAGCAUAUGAAUAAGCACCGGCUAACUCCGUGCCAGCAGCCGCGGGUAAUACGGAGGGUGCAAGCGUUACUCGGAAUCACUGGGCGUAAAGGACGCGUAGGCGGGUUGGAAAGUCAGGUGUGAAAUCCUACAGCUUAACUGUAGAACUGCACUUGAAACUUCUAAUCUAGAGUAUGGGAGGGGGAGAUGGAAUUAGUGGUGUAGGGGUAAAAUCCGUAGAUAUCACUAGGAAUACCUAAAGCGAAGGCGAUCUCCUGGAACAUUACUGACGCUGAGGCGUGAAAGCGUGGGGAGCAAACAGGAUUAGAUACCCUGGUAGUC